UGGUAAAAUGUGAUGUACCUAGUAAUAUUACUGAUUAAUAUGACGCUAACCGAGUUAGUUAAAAUUCUAAGUAUAUAUGUGAUUAUGACAAUAUGUGCUUAUUUCUUGACCAAGUCACGUGCCAGCCGUCGCGGUAAUACGUGGAAGAUCAUUGUUAUUCAUCUUUAUCAGGUUUAAAGGGUACCUAGACGGUUAAUUAAGCUUUAGUAGGAACUAAUUAACUAGAGUUUAAUGUAAGAAUGAUUGAGUACGGUGAGUGUAGAGAUAAAAUUCUGUCAUACCACUUAGGAACUGGUAAAAGCGAAGGCAACUUUCUAUGUAAAAACUGACGUUAAGGGACGAAGGCUCGUAUCAAAUAACAGGAUUAGAUACCCCAGCAUUGUGGGCAGACAAUGAUGAGUGUCAUAUGCAAGAGAUAAAAAAAAAAUAUUUUGUGUAUAAAUGAAAGUGUAAGCACUCCACCUCAAGAGUAACGUGGCAACAUGGGAACUGAAAUCAUUAGACCGUUUCUGAAACUCGUAGUGAAGUAUGUUGUUUAAUUAGAUGGUGCACAAAUAACCUUACCACAAUUUGUAUAACUAUAGUACAUAAUAAUAAUAUAGUUACAAGCGUAGCACGGCUGUCUUUAGUCUAUCUUGUGAAACUGUGGUUAGAUCCAUUAAAUCGACGUAA
rnacentral:rRNA from 1 species